UGGGGAAUAUUGCACAAUGGGCGCAAGCCUGGUGCAGCCAUGCCGCGUGUGUGAAGAAGGCCUUCGGGUUGUAAAGCACUUUCAGCGAGGAGGAAGGCGUUAAGGUUAAUAACCUUAGCGAUUGACGUUACUCGCAGAAGAAGCACCGGCUAACUCCGUGCCAGCAGCCGCGGUAAUACGGAGGGUGCAAGCGUUAAUCGGAAUUACUGGGCGUAAAAGCGCACGCAGGCGGUUUGUUAAGUCAGAUGUGAAAUCCCCGCGCUUAACGUGGGAACUGCAUUUGAAACUGGCAAGCUAGAGUCUUGUAGAGGGGGGUAGAAUUCCAGGUGUAGCGGUGAAAAUGCGUAGAGAUCUGGAGGAAUACCGGUGGCGAAGGCGGCCCCCUGGACAAAGACUGACGCUCC
rnacentral:rRNA from 1 species